UACGAAGGGUGCAAGCGUUACUCGGAAUUACUGGGCGUAAAGCGUGCGUAGGUGGUUCGUUAAGUCUGAUGUGAAAGCCCUGGGCUCAACCUGGGAAUGGCAUUGGAAACUGGCGACCUAGAGUGCGGUAGAGGGUAGUGGAAUUCCCGGUGUAGCGGUGAAAUGCGCAGAGAUCGGGAGGAACACCCGUAGCGAAGGCGGCACUCUGGGCCGGUACUGACGCUGAGGAGCGAAAGCGUGGGGAGCAAACAGG
rnacentral:rRNA from 1 species